CAACCCCCAAACCUCAGGCACUGAAUACAAGGAAAGUCUUUCUUGUUCAUAUCAUAAGUCCAAGGCAGGUCAGUGGGAGAGGGCAGUGCUGCUCCACGCAGUCACUCAGGGGACCCAGGCUCCUUCCAUCUCAUGGUUCUGCUCCCCUCUGGGUCCCUUUAGGCCUGCUUCAUCCAGAGAAAAUGUGGGGCAAGAGAGAACACUGAUGUUCCAGCAGGCCAACCCAGGGAGCACCUCUGUUAUGAACACCCUUGGUCUACAUGAGCUCUUCAGACAUCUUGACUCCAGCACAUAAGCUUUGACAUGAGCUGUCUCAAAUCCCAAACAUGCAUUCAACCCAGGGUGUCCAGGCCCCUCUGGGCUCCUCCAGUGUCUGAACCCCACAUCCCAAGCUCAUCUAAUUAUACCCUUGGAG
rnacentral:lncRNA from 1 species